UGCGUAGGUGGCGGGGUAAGUCAGGUGUGAAAUCUCGGGGCUCAACCCCGAAACUGCACUUGAUACUGCCUUGCUCGAGUACUGGAGAGGAGAUUGGAAUUUACGGUGUAGCAGUGAAAUGCGUAGAUAUCGUAAGGAAGACCAGUGGCGAAGGCGAAUCUCUGGACAGUUACUGACACUGAGGCACGAAGGCCAGGGAGCAAACG
rnacentral:rRNA from 1 species